rnacentral:rRNA from 1 species
GUGCAGCAGGCGAGAAAACUUCACACUGUGCGAAAGCACGAUGAGGGAAUCCCAAGUGCUUGCACGUAAGUGUAAGCUGUUUCUCUGUCUAAAAACGCAGAGAGAGUAAGGGCUGGGGUAAGACGGGUGCCAGCCGCCGCGGGUAAUACCUGCAGCUCAAGUGGUGACCGUUAUUAUUGGGGCCUAAAAACGUCCGUAGCCGGUUUAAUAAAUGCCUGGGUAAAUUGUGUAGCUUAACAUACGAAUUCCGGGUAGACUGUUAAAACUUGAGACCGGGAGAAGUUAGAGGUACUCCUGGGGUAGAGGUGAAAAUUCUGUAAUCCUAGGGGGACCACCAGU